UAAAAUUAGAAAUGCUUAGGAGAAAGCCAAGCAAAGCCUGACGAAGACAAAGAAGAACUCGACCAGGUCCGCAAACGCAUCGCCGCCACCUCCGCCGCCAGCAACUCGACAGCCACGCCAAAGAGUCAUCCGUCCCCCUCCGUAUCGGCCUCUUCUCUCAAGAAACAAACAAAACUAACCUAUACGUCAUAUACUACCCUAUAAGUUGUUACUAUCUCUUUCUUCUUCUUUUGGGAUUUUUGGGGAAUCCAAUCAGCUGAUUCAUGGAGGUCGAGGUUAAACUUCGGCUUCCAGACGCGGGGGCCCACCGCCUCGUUACCAAUAUUUUGGCCCCGUUCCACGUCAAGACUCACCGCCAGGAGAACCACUUCUUCGACGGCUCCGCCGCUGAGCUCUCGGCUCUCAGAGCCGUCCUCAGGCUCAGAUUCUCCGACAAGGACCCCCGCUGCGUUGUCACUCUCAAAGCCAAAGCCGUCCUCGUCGACGGCGUGAGCCGCGUGGAGGAGGACGAGGAGGACCUGGACCCGUCUAUCGGGCGAGAUUGCGCGGCCGAGCCGGCGAAGCUGAGCGCCGUGGAGUCUAGGGUUGUGAGGAGGGCGAGGGAGGAGUUUGGGGCGUUGGGGUUUGUGGGGCUGGGAGGGUUUGGGAAUGUGAGGCAAGUGUACGAGUGGAAGGGACUGAAAUUGGAGGUGGACGAGACUGAUUUUGGGUUUGGGACUCUGUAUGAGAUUGAGUGUGAGAGUGAAAAUCCCGAGGACGCCAAGAAAUUACUCGAGGAGUUUCUCAAGGACCAUGGGAUCAACUAUUCGUACUCGGAGAAGUCCAAAUUCGCGAUUUUUCGGUCCGGGAAGCUGCCAUAAAUUGCUUAGCUGUAGUUUCAGAGCUCACAAUGUAAUCCAUACUUGCUGGCCUGCGUCAGAGCUCAUCAAGAGUUAGGUUUUCCCAGACAGAUAUGUGGUGUUCGGAAGAACACUCCAAGUUUGCAAUAAACGCCAUUUGUUUAUUCUGUGUCACAAGACGGUUUUUAUAAACUUUCUGGCUAAAUUUACCAACUUUGGUUGUUUCGUCUG